AAAGAACAAUUGUCCGAUUUUAAAUUCGCAACGAGUAGUUCGCAACUAAUAAUUCGUGGAAUAAUAAACAUUAUUUCGCUCGGUUCAUCCUGAUCAUCGAUUCAGGAAAAACAACAUCCUCUUUCCCAUCCUCCGGCGAGGAAAGAAAUACGUGCCUAGGCAGUCAAUUAUUAUCCACACGGGUAAACGUGGCCGUCAAAACGACAAAUAAAAGAGGACUAAAAUACAACUUAGCACAAUGAAGCGUGGAAAAGGAGCUGACUCCGGGAGGAAGCGAGCGGGAAGGGAGGCUGAGGUCUUCCCUGCCAGAUGUAUUUCACACAUUAACGACUUUGGUCACGGUGUCACUGCUCUGGAUAUCCAGUGACAUCUGGUAGGCCGUCCCUAUAAUGGAACAUUGCGAACCUCCUCGCCGUGGAACAAGCUUAAGGGUGGUGGUGGAGAGAAAAUUGACGGUGUCGCCACCAUACCGGAUUAAGUGAAACCGAGAAUCGCCGUGUAAUUUUUUGGACUCUACAACCGGGGCUCUAUUGUAGUCGUCGAUCUGACUGCCACGAAUCGGGCGGUGCUUGCGGUUGAAAGGUAGAAAAAACCCUCCGGGGCAUUCAUCAAAACGCAAUUUUUACCCACCUUUGUCAACCGAACGUUCGACAUUGAAUAUAGAGAUCGAUGAACAGUUGAAAGUUAAUAGAACUGGCCAGGUGAUAUAUGGUUGUAUGUACACAAUGUAUAUUGGAUAUUGUUAUAUUCUCGUUAUAUCACUAUGUAUCCAAUUCUAAACUUUAAAUCUCCAUAUUAGGGAUAUCUAUAUAUCAUUCAAAUUAAAAAUGAUAUGAAAUUAUUAUACUGUUGUUGAAUGUUAUAAGUAAUUAUAAUUAUUCGACAUUUAACACUCGUGAUACUAGUGAUGAUUAUAAUUAUCUGUGUGUCAUUGUGACACGUGAACAAACAUAAAUAAUUAGAAGUGAUUUUGUGCUAUGUUAAAUAUUCAGAGUUGUACGAGAGAUGAUUAUAUUGUCAAAUAUGACGCAGAAAAACAUUUCAAUUUAUAAUUUUCCAUUGGUGUAUGCAAAAUUUGCUGUUGACUAUAAUCAUCCAGCGCUGAGCACUCAUUGUGUAUGUACUACGGAUGCCAUCAGUCAUCUUGCUCUAAGCACUCGUGUAUGUACUACAGGUGACUGUAAUCACCCAGCGUUAAGCACUCGUUGGAUAACACGGGUAAUUAUAAUUACUAAUAUUAAGUUUGUAAGUACUCUUUCUACAUCAUCAGAUAUUAUAAUUAUUUGUACGAAUUUAUAAUAACAUUUUUAACAUAUGUAUAGUGAGAUUACAGAUAACAAAUUUUGGCGAGGAAAAUUCCUUAUUUUGUUACACAUCGUUAAUUCUUAUCUCGAUAAUAAUGUAUCUUAUCCAUAUGAAGAUUUUUUAUUCUUAUGUGUAAGGAAAAGGAGAGUCUUCAAAAGAGGAUUAAGAAAACAUUUUCCUUUUUUUUUUUUGUGCAAGAAAAUAUUCUCGCAUAAUUUAUUAUGUAUGAAUAGAAUUUAAACUUCAACUUGAUAUUCGUUAGAAGCUCGCUAAGAUCCGAAGUCGUUCUUUCUCAAGAGGAUUCUACUAGUUCACCAUAGAUUCUUAUGGGAAUUGCUGAAGUACGAAUUCAAUGGUGAAGUCUCUUACCUCGUUCGUUAUGCUCUUAAGAGAUCAACUUUCCAGGAUUAUAUCGUUAUUCCAAGUUAGUCUCAAGAAAUAAAGACGACGAUGAACGAACUAGGAAUAAAAGUUAAAUCGAUAAUGCACUAAAUCUAUCACCUAUUUUCUAAUAAAAUAAUUUUCAACGUUAUUUAACUUGUUGAACAAUUUAAAUAAUAAUAAUUAUUGUGGAUAUAAAUUAGUAUCAAUUACUCUGCAGAAGUAAAAAAAAAAAAAAAAAAA
rnacentral:lncRNA from 1 species